AUGGAAGCAAAGAAGUAUCUUUUCUACUUUAGGUCCUUCGUGAUAAAAGACGGGUCUGAGAUAAGUUUUUUGGAGGACAACUGGCUAGACAAUGCCAGUCCUCGAGAACAAUACCCGGCCUUAUACCGGUUUGUUCGCGAUAAGAAUGCAACUCUUGUGCAAGUGUUCAGUUCAUCCCCGCCCGAUAUUUCUUUCAGGCGGGAUUUGAUUGGCCCCUGUCUUAUGUCAUGGAAAAAUCUAUUGUCCGAACUAGAUUCGAUUAACCUGACACAAGGACGAGAUGUGUUUUGGUGGAAUCUCACAACAUUUGGGUCCUUUAUAGUCAGCUCGAUGUAUGGUGCGCUCACGCAUUCUAAGGUCCUAGUGGAUAAUAACAAGAAAUAUGGAGAUCCAAGAUUCCACUAA
rnacentral:rRNA from 1 species